rnacentral:snoRNA from 1 species
UAUUAUGAUGAAUAAGAGCAUCGCUCGAAUAUAACCCAGCUCGUCGAGUGGCCUCAUUUUAUUUACAACGCAGAGGCCACAUUGAGAGAAAAUCCUAUCUGAUAUU